rnacentral:rRNA from 1 species
GUUAGUUGGUGGGGUAACGGCCUACCAAGACGAUGAUGAUUAGGGGUUCUGAGAGGAUAUCCCCCCACACUGGAACUGAGAACGGUCCAGACUCCUACGGGAGGCAGCAGUAGGGAAUAUUGGGCAAUGGAGGCAACUCUGACCCAGCCAUGCCGCGUGAAGGAAGACAGUCUUAUGGAUUGUAAACUUCUUUUAUCAUAGAGUAACCACAGGGACGCGUUCCCUGUCUGCAAGUAUAUGAUGAAUAAGCAUCGGCUAACUCCGUGCCAGCAGCCGCGGUAAUACGGAGGAUGCAAGCGUUAUCCGGAUUUAUUGGGUUUAAAGGGUGCGCAGGCGGUCUGGUAAGUCAUGGGUGAAAUUUUACAGCUUAACUGUAAGCGUGCCUAUGAUACUGCUGGGCUAGAGUUUAAGAGACGUAAUUGGAAUGUGAUGUGUAGCGGUGAAAUGCUUAGAUAUGUCACAGAACGCCGAUCGUGAAGACAGAUUACGAACUUAAUACAGACGCUCAAGCACGAAAGCGUGGGGAUCAAACAGGAUUAGAUACCCUGGUAGUCCACGCUGUAAACGAUGAUCACUCGUUGUUGGAUGGCAACAUUCAGUGGCUAA